rnacentral:lncRNA from 1 species
UACUGACUAAUUAGUCGGGCGUUUGGUGCUUUCCAGGAUAAAUCUGUACAUCGGAUAAUAUAUCGGAUUACAAUAAAUUUAUAAAAAAAUUCACCGAAUAACUGAUGUUAAAAUGGAAAAAAGGAAGAAAACCAAAGAAAAAAAAGAAUUAAUCCUCAUUGCACCAACAAAAUUAAAAAACAAAACAUAAAAAAGGAAGGAAAGAAACCCAGGUUUCUCUUACAGUUGUGUUAUCCUUUCUUCAUCAUCAUCCCCGCGCAUCAAAUCUCACUCUCUCUGCCGAACCCAUUUCCUUAUUUCUUAAUCUCCCAAAACCCAUAUGGAUUCUCCGCACCAAAAUCAAUUUGUAAGAAAUAGACAAAUCAACCAAUUUCAUAAGAGAGGGAAUAGAGAGCAAACAGAGAAAGGGAGCGGAAAAAAGGAAGAAGAAGAAUGAAGGAUAGUAGAUGAAUUCGAGAGGAGGAAGAAGAACAAAGAACAACAUAUGUAGUUCGUUCUGGAUAGAGAAGAGAACGGAGAAGGCACAAAUUUAUUUGAGAGUGAAGAGACAACGCGAUUAAAUUUUCCUGGGUUUUUGAGUUUUGAACCUGCUAAAUUAUCCUUAGCUUUUGGAGUGUAUUAUUUAGCAGGUGUGAGCCGGACUAAAAAGUGGGCCCGGGAUAUAUAAUCGGCCGGCUAAUUAAUUCAAAACUGC